UGGGGAAUUUUGGACAAUGGGCGCAAGCCUGAUCCAGCCAUGCCGCGUGUCUGAAGAAGGCCUUCGGGUUGUAAAGGACUUUUGUCAGGGAAGAAAAGGCUGUUGCUAAUAUCGACAGCUGAUGACGGUACCUGAAGAAUAAGCACCGGCUAACUACGUGCCAGCAGCCGCGGUAAUACGUAGGGUGCGAGCGUUAAUCGGAAUUACUGGGCGUAAAGCGGGCGCAGACGGUUACUUAAGCAGGAUGUGAAAUCCCCGGGCUCAACCUGGGAACUGCGUUCUGAACUGGGUGACUAGAGUGUGUCAGAGGGAGGUAGAAUUCCACGUGUAGCAGUGAAAUGCGUAGAGAUGUGGAGGAAUACCGAUGGCGAAGGCAGCCUCCUGGGAUAACACUGACGUUCAUGCCCGAAAGCGUGGGUAGCAAACAGGAUUAGAUACCCUGGUAGUCCACGCCCUAAACGAUGUCGAUUAGCUGUUGGGCAGCUUGACUGCUUAGUAGCGAAGCUAACGCGUGAAAUCGACCGCCUGGGGAGUACGGUCGCAAGAUUA
rnacentral:rRNA from 1 species